UACGUAGGGAGCAAGCGUUGUCCGGAAUCAUUGGGCGUAAAGAGCGCGUAGGCGGUCCGGUAAGUCGGUUGUGAAAACUGGGGGCUCAACCCUCAGAGGCCGACCGAUACUGUCGGGCUAGAGUCCGGAAGAGGCGAGUGGAAUUCCUGGUGUAGCGGUGAAAUGCGCAGAUAUCAGGAGGAACACCAAUGGCGAAGGCAGCUCGCUGGGACGGUACUGACGCUGAGGCGCGAAAGCUAGGGUAGCAAACGGG
rnacentral:rRNA from 1 species